AGGGGCAGCAUGGUCUUAGCUUGCUAAGACUGAUGGCGACCGGCGCACGGGUGCGUAACGCGUAUGCAACUUGCCUCACAGAGGGGGAUAACCCGUCGAAAGACGGACUAAUACCGCGUACACUCUAUGUUGGGCAUCCAAUGUAGAGGAAAUGAAUUUCGCUGUGAGAUAGGCAUGCGUCCCAUUAGCUAGUUGGUGAGGUAACGGCUCACCAAGGCGACGAUGGGUAGGGGAACUGAGAGGUUGAACCCCCACACUGGUACUGAGACACGGACCAGACUCCUACGGGAGGCAGCAGUGAGGAAUAUUGGUCAAUGGGCGAGAGCCUGAACCAGCCAAGUCGCGUGAAGGAUGACUGUCUUAUGGAUUGUAAACUUCUUUUAUACGGGAAUAACAAGAGUCACGUGUGACUCCCUGCAUGUACCGUAUGAAUAAGCAUCGGCUAACUCCGUGCCAGCAGCCGCGGUAAUACGGAGGAUGCGAGCGUUAUCCGGAUUUAUUGGGUUUAAAGGGUGCGUAGGCGGCCUGUUAAGUCAGCGG
rnacentral:rRNA from 1 species